rnacentral:rRNA from 1 species
GAUGAACGCUGGCGGCGUGCCUAACACAUGCAAGUCGAACGGAGAUUACGGACGGAAGUUUUCGGAUGGAAGACUGUAAUUCUUAGUGGCGGACGGGUGAGUAACGCGUGGGCAACCUGCCCUAUACAGGGGGAUAGCAGCUGGAAACGGCUGGUAAGACCGCAUAAGUCGGUGAGACCGCAUGGUUUUGCCGGGAAAUGAGCAAUCAGGUAUAGGAUGGGCCCGCGUCCGAUUAGCCAGUUGGCAGGGUAAAAGCCUACCAAAGCAACGAUCGGUAGCCGGACUGAGAGGUCGGACGGCCACAUUGGGACUGAGACACGGCCCAAACUCCUACGGGAGGCAGCAGUGGGGGAUAUUGCACAAUGGAGGAAACUCUGAUGCAGCGACGCCGCGUGAGUGAAGAAGUAUUUCGGUAUGUAAAGCUCUAUCAGCAGGGAAGAUGAUGACGGUACCUGACGAAGAAGCCCCGGCUAACUACGUG